AUCAUUAAAGAAUCGCCCCGUUUUUUGAAAUGGGUUCUAUUCCCAAACCGUGUUUACAUACCUUUGUUGCUUUGGCAGGCCGCCUUCUAGGCGUCGGCUCCGGCUGACUGCGCCUGCCAGAGGACCCAAACUCGUUUGUUUAGUGAUGUCUGAGUACUAUAUAAUAGUUAAAACUUUCAACAACGGAUCUCUUGGUUCUGGCAUCGAUGAAGAACGCAGCGAAAUGCGAUAAGUAAUGUGAAUUGCAGAAUUCAGUGAAUCAUCGAAUCUUUGAACGCACAUUGCGCCCCUUGGUAUUCCGAGGGGCAUGCCUGUUCGAGCGUCAUUAUAACCACUCAAGCCUCGGCUUGGUCUUGGGGUUCGCGGUCUCGCGGCCCUUAAAAUCAGUGGCGGUGCCGUCUGGCUCUAAGCGUAGUAAUUUUCUCGCUAUAGGGUCCAGGUGACCACCUGCCAGAACCCCCCCACUCUUUACGGUUGACCUCGGAUCAGGUAGGGAUACCCGCUGA
rnacentral:sRNA from 1 species